rnacentral:rRNA from 1 species
AUUGAACGCUGGCGGCAGGCCUAACACAUGCAAGUCGAGCGGAGCGGCGGACGGGUGUGUAAUGCCUAGGAAUCUGCCUGGUAGUGGGGGAUAACGUCCGGACACGGGCGCUAAUACCGCAUACUAUCAGAUGAGACUAGGUCGGAGUAGCGAGUUGGUGGGGUAAAGGCCUACCAAGGCGACGAGCCGUAACUGGUCUGAGAGGAUGAUCAGUCACACUGGAACUGAGACACGGUCCAGACUCCUACGGGAGGCAGCAGUGGGGAAUAUUGGACAAUGGGCGAAAGCCUGAUCCAGCCAUGCCGCGUGUGUGAAGAAGGUCUUCGGAGUGUAAAGCACUUUAAGUUGGGAGGCGUUACCAGCAGAAUAAGCACCGGCUAACUUCGUGCCAGCAGCCGCGGUAAUAC